ACGAACGCUGGCGGCAGGCCUAACACCUGCAAGUCGAGCGAGCAUUUCGGUGCUAGCGGCGGACGGGUGAGUAACGCGUGGGAACGUGCCCUUUUCUGCGGAAUAGUCCUGGGAAACUGGGGGUAAUACCGCAUACGCCCUUUUGGGGAAAGAUUUAUCGGAGAAGGAUCGGCCCGCGUUGGAUUAGGUAGUUGGUGGGGUAAUGGCCCACCAAGCCGACGAUCCAUAGCUGGUUUGAGAGGAUGAUCAGCCACACUGGGACUGAGACACGGCCCAGACUCCUACGGGAGGCAGCAGUGGGGAAUCUUAGACAAUGGGGGCAACCCUGAUCGAGCCAUGCCGCGUGAGUGAUGAAGGCCUUAGGGUUGUAAAGCUCUUUCAGCUGGGAAGAUAAUGACGGUACCAGCAGAAGAAGCCCCGGCUAACUCCGUG
rnacentral:rRNA from 1 species